rnacentral:rRNA from 1 species
CAGUAGCCGCGGUAACACGAAGGUCCCGAGCGUUAUUCGGAAUCACUGGGCGUAAAGGGAGCGUAGGCGGCGUGAUAAGUCAGAUGUGAAAUCCCGGGGCUCAACCCCGGAACUGCAUCCGAUACUGCCGUGCUAGAGGAUUGGAGAGGUAGCUGGAAUUCUUGGUGUAGCAGUGAAAUGCGUGGAGAUCAAGAGGAACACUCGUGGCGAAAGCGAGCUACUGGACAAUAUCUGACGCUGAGGCUCGAAGGCCAGGGUAGCGAAAGGGAUUAGAUACCCGCGUAGUCCCUGUAUCUUAUAC